AGGAUGAACGCUGGCGGUAUGCUUAACACAUGCAAGUCGAACGGAGUGCUUAGGCACUUAGUGGCGGACGGGUGAGUAACGCGUGAGAAUCAGCCUUCAGGUUCGGGACAACCACUGGAAACGGUGGCUAAUACCGAAUGAACCGAAAGGGGAAAGACUUGUUGCCUGAAGAAGAGCUCGCGUCCGAUUAGCUAGUUGGUGGGGUAAAGGCUUACCAAGGCAGCGAUCGGUAGCUGGUCUGAGAGGACGACCGGCCACACUGGGACUGAGACACGGCCCAGACUCCUACGGGAGGCAGCAGUGGGGAAUAUUGCGCAAUGGGCGAAAGCCUGACGCAGCGACGCCGCGUGGGGGAUGAAUGCCUUCGGGUUGUAAACCCCUUUCAGCAGGGACGAAGCGAAAGUGACGGUACCUGCAGAAGAAGCGCCGGCUAACUACGUGCCAGCAGCCGC
rnacentral:rRNA from 1 species